GGGGAUGUAACUCAGGAGUAGAGUGCAUGCUCCUCAUGUAUGAGGUCCUGGGUUCAAUCCCCACCAUCUCCA
rnacentral:tRNA from 1 species